CCUACGGGAGGCAGCAGUGAGGAAUAUUGGUCAAUGGCCGCAAGGCUGAACCAGCCAAGUCGCGUGAAGGAAGAAGGAUCUAUGGUUUGUACACUUCUUUUAUAGGGGAGUAAAGGUCUCCACGUGUGGAUAUUUGCAUGUACCCUAUGAAUAAGCAUCGGCUAACUCCGUGCCAGCAGCCGCGGUAAUACGGAGGAUGCGAGCGUUAUCCGGAUUUAUUGGGUUUAAAGGGGGCGUAGAUGGUUAGUUAAGUUAGUUGUGAAAGUUUGGGGCUCAACCGUAACAUUGCAAUUGAUACUGGCAGUCUUGAGUGCAGUUGAGGUAGGCGGAAUGCGUGGUGUAGCGGUGAAAUGCUUAGAUAUCACGAAGAACUCCGAUUGCGAAGGCAGCAUACUAAACUGCCACUGACAUUGAGGCACGAAAGUGUGGGUAUCAAACAGGAUUAGAUACCCGAGUAGUC
rnacentral:rRNA from 1 species